UGUCAUAUUAUGUAUGGUACCCAUGAAGUC
rnacentral:piRNA from 1 species